rnacentral:rRNA from 1 species
CCCUUAGAUGUCCGGGGCUGCACGCGCGCUACACUGAAGGAAUCAGCGUGCUAAAACCAUUGUCGAAAGGCAUUGGUAAACCCAUUAAAAUCCUACGUGAUUGGGAUCGGGAAUUGCAAUUAUUUCCCUUGAACGAGGAAUUCCCAGUAAGUGUGGGUCAUAAGCUCGCGUUGAUUACGUCCCUGCCCUUUGUACACACCGCCCGCCGCUGCCCGGGACUGAGCCGUUUCGAGAAAAGCGGGGACUGCUGCUGUCGGGGCUUUCGGGCCUUGGCUUCGGUGGAAACCGCUUUAAUCGCAGUGGCUUGAACCGGGCAAAAGUCGUAACA